CUUAACACAUGCAAGUCGAGGGGCAGCAUUUUAUUUUGCUUGCAAACUAAAGAUGGCGACCGGCGCACGGGUGAGUAACACGUAUCCAACCUGCCGAUAACUCGGGGAUAGCCUUUCGAAAGAAAGAUUAAUAUCCGAUAGUAUAUUAAAACCGCAUGGUUUUACUAUUAAAGAAUUUCGGUUAUCGAUGGGGAUGCGUUCCAUUAGUUUGUUGGCGGGGUAACGGCCCACCAAGACUACGAUGGAUAGGGGUUCUGAGAGGAAGGUCCCCCACAUUGGAACUGAGACACGGUCCAAACUCCUACGGGAGGCAGCAGUGAGGAAUAUUGGUCAAUGGACGAGAGUCUGAACCAGCCAAGUAGCGUGAAGGAUGACUGCCCUAUGGGUUGUAAACUUCUUUUAUAUGGGAAUAAAGUAUUCCACGUGUGGAAUUUUGUAUGUACCAUAUGAAUAAGGAUCGGCUAACUCCGUGCCAGCAGCCGCGGUAAUACGGAGGAUCCGAGCGUUAUCCGGAUUUAUUGGGUUAAAAGGGGAGCGUAGGUGGAUUGUAAAGUCAGUUGUGAAAGUUUGCGGCUCAACCGUAAAAAUUGCAGUUGAAACUGGCAGUCUUGAGUACAGUAGAGGUGGGCGGAAUUCGUGGUGUAGCGGUGAAAUGCUUAGAUAUCACGAAGAACUCCGAUUGCGAAGGCAGCUCACUAGACUGCAACUGACACUGAUGCUCGAAAGUAUGGGUAUCAAACAGGAUUAGAUACCCUGGUAGUCCACACAGUAAACGAUGAAUACUCGCUGUUUGCGAUAUACAGUAAGCGUCCAAGCGAAAGCAUUAAGUAUUCCACCUGGGGAGUACGCCGGCAACGGUGAAACUCAAAGGAAUUGACGGGGGCCCGCACAAGCGGAGGAACAUGUGGUUUAAUUCGAUGAUACGCGAGGAACCUUACCCGGGCUUAAAUUGCAUUUGAAUAAUCUGGAAACAGGUUAGCCGCAAGGCAAAUGUGAAGGUGCUGCAUGGUUGUCGUCAGCUCGUGCCGUGAGGUGUCGGCUUAAGUGCCAUAACGAGCGCAACCCUUAUCUUUAGUUACUAACAGGUCAUGCUGAGGACUCUAGAGAGACUGCCGUCGUAAGAUGUGAGGAAGGUGGGGAUGACGUCAAAUCAGCACGGCCCUUACGUCCGGGGCUACACACGUGUUACAAUGGGGGGUACAGAAGGCAGCUACCUGGCGACAGGAUGCUAAUCCCAAAAACCUCUCUCAGUUCGGAUCGAAGUCUGCAACCCGACUUCGUGAAGCUGGAUUCGCUAGUAAUCGCGCAUCAUCCAUGGCGCGGUGAAUACGUUCCCGGGCCUUGUACACACCGCCCGUCAAGCCAUGAAAGCCGGGGGUACUUGAAGUACGUAACCGCAAGGAGCGUCCUAGGGUAAAACUGGUAAUUGGGGCUAAGUC
rnacentral:rRNA from 1 species